rnacentral:rRNA from 1 species
AACGAACGCUGGCGGCAUGCCUAACACAUGCAAGUCGAACGAGACCUUCGGGUCUAGUGGCGCACGGGUGCGUAACGCGUGGGAACCUGCCCUUAGGUUCGGAAUAACUCCCCGAAAGGGGUGCUAAUACCGGAUAAUGUCUUCGGACCGAAGAUUUAUCGCCUUUGGAUGGGCCCGCGUUGGAUUAGCUAGUUGGUAGGGUAAAAGCCUACCAAGGCGACGAUCCAUAGCUGGUCUGAGAGGAUGAUCAGCCACACUGGGACUGAGACACGGCCCAGACUCCUACGGGAGGCAGCAGUGGGGAAUAUUGGACAAUGGGCGAGAGCCUGAUCCAGCAAUGCCGCGUGAGUGAUGAAGGCCUUAGGGUUGUAAAGCUCUUUUACCCGGGAUGAUAAUGACAGUACCGGGAGAAUAAGCUCCGGCUAACUCCGUG